CAGCAGCCGCGGUAAUACGGAGGGAGCUAGCGUUGUUCGGAAAUACUGGGCGUAAAGCGCACGUAGGCGGCGCAGCAAGUCAGGGGUGAAAUCCCGGGGCUCAACCUCGGAACUGCCCUUGAAACUGCAGUGCUAGAAUCUUGGAGAGGCGAGUGGAAUUCCGAGUGUAGAGGUGAAAUUCGUAGAUAUUCGGAAGAACACCAGUGGCGAAGGCGACUCGCUGGACAAGUAUUGACGCUGAGGUGCGAAAGCGUGGGGAGCAAACAGG
rnacentral:rRNA from 1 species